CAGCCGCCGCGGUAAAACGAACCGUGCGAACGUUAUUCGGAAUCACUGGGCUUAAAGCGCGUGUAGGCGGGAGGGCACGUCCGUCGCUGAAAUCCCCCGGCUCAACCGGGGAGCGGGCGCGGAUACGACUCUUCUGGAGGAACGUAGGGGGACCUGGAACUUCCGGUGGAGCGGUGAAAUGCGUUGAGAUCGGAAGGAACGCCCGUGGCGAAAGCGAGGUCCUGGACGUUUACUGACGCUGAGACGCGAAAGCCAGGGGAGCGAACGGGAUUAGAGACCCCAGUAGUCCCUGUCUCUUAUU
rnacentral:rRNA from 1 species